rnacentral:pre_miRNA from 1 species
AGGAGGAACAACCCCAGUGGUGGCCGCAGCUCUGGAAACCUGGAUUCAGCUCCGGCAGGAACUCCGUCUGCAGGGCCUGGAGGCUCCGGGGCGGG